rnacentral:rRNA from 1 species
UACGGAGGAGGCAAGCGUUAUCCGGAAUUAUUGGGCGUAAAGCGUCCGCAGGUGGCACUUCAAGUCUGUCGUCAAAGACUGGGGCUUAACCCUGGAAAGGCGGUGGAAACUGAAGCGCUAGAGUGCGGUAGGGGUAGAGGGAAUUCCCGGUGUAGCGGUGAGAUGCGUAGAUAUCGGGAAGAACACCAGUGGCGAAAGCGCUCUACUGGGCCAUAACUGACACUGAGGGACGAAAGCUAGGGGAGCGAAAGGG